rnacentral:rRNA from 1 species
GAUGAACGUUGGCGGCGUGCCUAACACAUGCAAGUCGAACGCUAGUAGCAAUAUUAGAGUGGCGCACGGGUGAGUAACACGUAGCUUACCCACCUCCCAGCGCGGGAUAACGGUUCGAAAGAACUGCUAAUACCGCAUAAGCUCACGGGCUAUAGAGGCUAGUGAGAAAAGGCUUAGGUCACUGGGGAGCGGGGGCGUGCGGCCCACU